rnacentral:rRNA from 1 species
AUUGAACGCUGGCGGCAUGCCUUACCAAUGCAAGUCGAACGGUAACAGGUCUUCGGAUGCUGACGAGUGGCGAACGGGUGAGUAAUACAUCGGAACGUGCCUAGUAGGGGGGGAUAACUACUAGAAAGAGAUGCUAAUAACGUAUGAGAUCUAAGGAUGAAAGCAGGGGAUCGCAAUACCUUGUGCUACUAGAGCGGCCGAUGGCAGAUUAGGUAGUUGGUGGGAUAAAAGCUUACCACGCCGACGAUCUGUAGCCGGUCUGAGAGGACGAUCAGCCACACUGGGACUGAGACACGGCCCAGACUCCUACGGGAGGCAGCAGUGGGGAAUUUUGGACAAUGGGCGCAAGCCUGAUCCAGCAAUGCCGCGUGCAGGAUGAAGGCCUUCGGGUUGUAAACUGCUUUUGUACGGAACGAAAAGCCCUGGGUUAAUACCCUGGGGUCAUGACGGUACCGUAAGAAUAAGCACCGGCUAACUACGUGCCAGCCGCCGCGGUAAGAC